GGGGGUUAUUUUGCUGGGGUUUGGGUUGCGUUUGAAAAAGGCGGCUGGAGUAGGAGAUCUCUCUGCUGACUGCACUGAACUGGGGCUCUGGAAUUUACUGUGAAACCUUUAUGAAAUCUUCAUGGUAAAAAAGCAUAGCAAAGUGUAAGCAAAGCACAGUGAAAGCAUAGGAAAGCAUUGUAAAGCACAGAGAGGUGUGGUAAAGCAUAGGGAAGCAUUGCAAAGCACAGAGAGGUCUGGUAAAGCAUAGGGAAGCAUUGUAAAGCACAGAGAGGUCUGGUAAAGCAUAGGGAAGCAUUGUAAAGCACAGAGAGGUGUGGUAAAGCAUAGGGAAGGAUUGUAAAGCACAGAGAGGUGUGGUAAAGCAUAGGGAAGCAUUGUAAAGCACAGAGAGGCGUGGUAAAGCAUAGGGAAGCAUUGUAAAGCACAGAGAGGCAUGGUAAAGCAUAGGGAAGCAUUGUAAAGCACAGAGAGGUGUGGUAAAGCAUAGGGAAGGAUUGUAAAGCACAGAGAGGUCUGGUAAAGCAUAGGGAAGCAUUGUAAAGCACAGAGAGGUCUGGUAAAGCAUCUUAAUAAACAUGGCAAACCAGGGUAAACGCUGGUAAAUGCAGAGUAUAACCAUGCGACAGAAUCCUGUGGUGAGCUUCUCUAAGGGUACGUUCAGCUGUUCAUUCAGGGAGUUUAUUUGUUUAUUUCUUUGCUGCUACAGUUGUAUGUUCUUACUUCAUGGGAAGUGUGGCUCUGUUCUGCAAGGUUUAAAAUAACGCAAUUUCAGAAAGAACGUUUUACGAAAGGUUUGUAUUGAGCAAGCCAGUCCGAGUCACGCUGCUUGGAGGACUAGCCCUGGUUUGCAUGGACUCCCCCAUCCCGAGGUUACAGCUAAAAAUAAAACAAUGCAAUCCCAGUGAAUAGCAUUCACUUCCCUGAACACUGAACCACUCUGAAACACAGAAGCAUCCGAACCACGCCGAAACUGCAAGGAUUACUCGAGCAAAAUCAAAAGAAUGGGAAGAAUGGAUUAUUAUUAUUAUAAUGGGUCUCUCGUGUAAUUUGUUGUAAAGGGAUUAAACUCCAUUCCCGUUCCAAUCCCUUCUUCUCUUCUCCCAGUUAGCAUUCCCUGUGAGAUGGAAAACUACCCAAGGUGUUAAUAAAUAACUCGCCCUACUUGAACUAAUUACACAGUUCCAGCUUUAUUAUUAUUAUUUAUUUCUUAUCAGACGCCCUUAUCCAGGGCGACUUACAAUUGUUACAAGAUAUCGCAUUAUUUUUUUACACAUUGUAUGUAAAAAAUAAUACUGGAGCAAUUUUAGGUAAAGUACCUUGCUCAAGGGUACAACAGCAGUGUCCCCCCAUUGGGGAUUGAACCCAUGACCCUCCGGUCUGGAGUCCAGAGUCCAAAUCCAGCACAGUUCCCUGCUUAUUUCACACGUCACUAAUUUGGUUACUUCUCUGUUGGGCCACAUUGACACACGCACAGUGACACACGCACACAGUGACACAUGCCAGUGACGCACACGCACAGUGAUACGCACAUGCACAGUGAUUUGCACACAGUGACGCACAUGCACACAGUGACACACGCACACAGUGACGCACACGCACAGUGAUUUGCACACAGUGACGCACACGCACAGUGAUGCACACGCUCAGUGAUUUGCACACACAAUUCAUGACAAAUAAAUCAAAUUACAAAAAAAAAAAAAAAAAAAAAAAAAAAAAGGCUGUUUAAAAAUGGUAAAGUUAGCUCAAAAAGGAAAGGCUCACGAACAAGAGGUAAAUGUGUAUGAAAGGGGGGCUGGUUUCAGAGCAGCAACUGUGUUGAAAAGGGCUCCCCCCAGGAAAUCACAUGACAGACUGGGAGAAAGGGGAAGCAGAGUGAUGCAGAGGGGGGUGGGGGGGGAUUGUGUACAGCUCUGUACAAUUGUUACCAAACUGCGGAGUUUCAAUUACAGGCUGCUUGAGAAACACGAGAGUGUUAAAUAUGGUGACGAAGAAUGAGGAAGAGAGAGAGAGAGAGAGAGAGAGACACUCAGACAGAAAGGAGUUCUCUUCUAACUGGUCGACGCUUGAGUUGGACACCUCGUGCAUCUGCAUCAUAAGUUUGCAGGAAUGUCUCUGAACCUCACCUCUAACCUCACGGACCCGUUCUCUUGCUACCACCCCUCGGUGGAGGUGUACCGCUACUUUGGGGUUGCCCUGGGCUGUGCGGUGACGCUGGGCGGCGCGCUGGGCAACGCCCUGACCCUGCUGGCUUUGGCAUGGGACCGAGGGCUGCACACCCGUUUCAACGUGCUGAUCCUGAACCUCAGCGUCGCAGACCUCCUGUACUGCGCCGGUCUGCAGCCCUUCACUGUCGACUCCUACCUGCACUUGCACUGGCGCUGGGGGGGCCCGGGCUGCAGUGCCUUCGCUCUCCUGCUCUUCCUCUCCAACGCAGUCUCCAUCAUCACCCUCUGUCUCAUCGCGGCUGCCCGCUACCUGAUGGUGGCCCGCGGCCGGCUCUUCAACAGAGUGUUCGGAAGAGUCGGUCUGGCCCUCCUGGUCUCCUCCACCUGGGCACUCGGACUGGCCAGUUUCGGUCCCCUCUGGGGCGCCUACGGGUUCGUGACGCAGGUGUGCACUUGCAGUUUCCAUCGCACCCGCGGCCGGCCCUACUCCACGAUCCUGCUGGUCCUGUACUUCUUCGUGGGGCUGGCCUGCGUCGGGGUUUUUUAUUUCCUCAUCCACAGGAAGGUGAAGGCAGCGGCCGCGGCAUUGGAGAGGCACAAGAUCAAGAAGGGUGUUUCCAUCAGAGCUACCGGAAAGGGAGAGGGAGAGGGAGAGAGCGGCAACACUCAGCACACCGACCUGGAAGCAGAUCACAGCCAGGGGUCUCAGGCAGACAGUUCGGGGGCCGCAGCCGAGCAAUCAGGGGCCCGAUUCCCGACCCAGAAACCAGCGCCACCUGUGGACCGGUCGGGUCCUGCUGAAACGUCAAGCAGCAGCCAGUCGGAUCCUACGCAAGUCUCGAGCGACGGCAACAAAAAACAACCACCUGUCUCAGACCGUUCGGACCCCAGCAGCUCCUCCGGGGACAAAACAGAGAGCCAGAGCUGGCCCAAAACCAAGCCCCCUGCCCCGCCCUCCUCCGGGGAGCAGGACGCGGAGUUCAAGCGCGUGACCCGGAUGUGCUUUGCGGUGUUCCUCUGCUUCGUGCUCUGCUACGCCCCCUUCCUCCUCGUCAACGCGCUGGAUUCCCAGGGCCGCGCCCCGCAGGCACUCCACAUGUUCUGCGCCAACAUGACCUGGCUGAACAGCUGCAUUAACCCCGUGCUAUACGCAGCCAUGAACCGCCGCUUCAACCAAGCCUACCGCGGGGUGCUGGCCCGCGCCCUCGCCCCCCUGGCCAGGCUGCGGGACGCAGUGCGAGGGGCGCGAGGUUAGCGGGUUCAGAUAGAGCUCGCCUCUCCAUAGAGGCCAGGAGCCAGCAACCAUCGUACAAAACACUCCCUAGUCCAAACGUUUGUCAAGUAAUUUGGUGGGUCUACAACACCUUCAUCAUCGUCAUCAUCAUCGGAGUCUGAAUGAAAGUGCUGCGCGAACAGAUUGUCCGAGUAUUGGGACAGAGCUGUCCACUGAAAUCAGGGGAGGAUCGCUGGGGUCGAUCAGGCUGAUUCAGCAUUCAGAGUGACAGGAGUGAAGAAACAGCAGCUUGGGUUUGUGAUGAUCGCUGCUUCUCUUAGAUUCUGUGCAGAACAGCGAUCCACACAAACCCAAGCAGCUGUUUAACUCGUUUCGCUCUGAAUGGAUAAAUCAGCCUGAUCGACAGAAGCAUGCAAGAUAAUCACAUUGGAACACAGCAGUGCACGGAUCUUAGCUGAGAAACUGGAACUGAAGCAAAAAGGGCAGAACCUGGACUUCAAACCUCAAAAGUACUUUUUUUCGUUUUUACAAAAUUCCAACGUAUACAGUGUUUUUUUAUUGUUGGUAUUUAAUAGUUCUCAGUUUAGUUUUUUUGGAUGGCGAAGGCAUUAUAUUUAUUCAACAGCAUGCAUCCCCCCCCUUAGAUAUGUUCAGGAGUAGUUCAUUAAUGUUUCUGUCAGUUUCUGUCAAUAUAAAUGUUAGCACUGUACAAGCAAUUUGUAUAUUAUUUUAUUAAAGUAAUAUUUUAAAAAAUGACGUGUGUGUGGAAUAUAACAUUUCUUAAAUCCUGUUUUGUUGAACAGACACACCAUUGAGGAGAGGAGAGGGGGAAGGUGAGGGGGAGAGGAGAGAGGAAAAGAGAGGAGGGAAGAUGGGAAAAGGAGGAGAGACGAGGGAAAAAGGAUGAGAGGAGAAGGAGGGAGAGAGGAAAAGGAGAGGAGGGAAGAUGGGAAAAGGAGGAGAGACUAGGGAAAAAGGAUGAGAGGAGAAGGAGGGAGAGAGAGGAAAAGGAGAGGAGGGAAGAUGGGAAAAGGAGGAGAGACUAGGGAAAAAGGAUGAGAGGAGAAGGAAGGAGAGAGAGAGAGAGGAAAAGGAGGAGAAAAAGAGGAGAGUGAGGAAAAGGAGAGGAGAGAGGAAAAGGAGGACAGAAUGAGUGAGAGGAAAAGGGGACACGAGUAAAUGCAUCUAUGAAAAUGAGAAAGAAAAACUAUCCAAGUCCACAAAAAAAAUCUGUAAGUUCAUGACAUUUGAAAACUACAAAUCCCUCCACAAACACACACUAGACCACCCUCCCUGACCUCCAACGACAACCCAGCUCCAAAACUAAGCCUGACUGCCUGCCUCCCAGUCCCUCAGCUCUAACCACUAGGCCCAAAAUAAUUUCCAAGGCCUAAACCUGAACCUAGAGCCAGCAGUUGUGAAGUCCAGCUGAUGAGAGCAACAUUAUUUUUUGGUUAAAAAAAAAAAAAAAAAAAGUCACCAAUACAAGAGCUUACACAGACCCACAAUUAUAGGGUUUGUCUAGAGAAACUAAACUAAAAAAAACAGCUGAAGUCGAGGGAAAGGAUUUCUACUGAAGACCUUCCACUGAGGAAUGACUUCAAACCAGGACGAAACAGCGAGACUCCCAAGGUAAGUGUGGAUUUAAAAAGGGGAGAAGGGAUUUCAUACGAGAGCGCAACAACUUAACAAAUAGGUUUGAAAAUGGAUCAAUACAGACUCACCCAAGAGUUCCUGGAGGAGAGGAAGCACACGCAUCCACGCUGGAGCAGGCAAGGAAACCCAUGUGGACCAGCUCAUAGCCGGUAAGGUCAUUAUCCCAUCACCUCGUUAAUAGUUAAUUGCCAAUUAGAGCCCCACCUGAAUUUGAUUGGCACCAGCAAGGGGGCCUACGCCCAAGGUCUGAAGCCUGGGAUUUGAGUUUAGCAAUUUUUUUUUAAAAAAACCUCAAGCCAAAAGAAACAAAACUACCUUCCUCGUCCACGCAGCUGAAAUUCAAGGACAGGAUUUCUACCGAAGAUCUUUUACUGGAGAAUUCGCUCAAAACCAGGAUGGAACGGCGAGGCUACAGAGGCAAGCAUGCAUUUUCAUCACCCCACCCCCCUUGCAUUGCCCAAACCUGAAACCCUGAUAAGAGUUUAAAAAAAAAAGGGAAGAAAGGUUUUCUUCCACUUUAGACACAUUUCAGAGACAGAAAUAAGAGUUCUGAAACUAACAACCAAAUAGGGUUGGAAUUUGGCACUCAGACUCACCCAAGAAGUUCCGGGAGGCGAGAGGAAAGCACACACACGUCCACGCUGGAGCAGGCCAGGAAAGCAGAGCACAGCGGAUCACAGCCGGUAAUUCAUUACUUAAAUCAGCUCGUUAAUAGUUAAUUGGCGCCCCACCUGAGCUCAACUGGCAUCAGCAAGAGGCCUACACCAAAGACCUGAAGCCUGCAAUUUGAGUUUUGAACAAACUAGCACACACACAAAAAAGAAAAAUCCAUGUGCUCUUUUACAAACGGAAGUCCGAACAGGAGAAAGGAGAGCAGCAUUUGUGGAUAAAAAUGAAGAUUUGGACAGGGAUUCUAAACCAGAAUACUCAAACACAGAAAUUAUUUUUCAAGGGUGUUGCCCUCCCAUCCAGGAGGAACAGCUUUCUUCUCUCAGCCCUGUUCCACCCCGACUGACCCACAGCAGCGCCGCCUUCCUUUUAUACUGACUCCUCACACCUGCUCUGAAUUAACGGGGCAUCGUCCCGUGCAGGAGCAGUUUCUGACUGCUGUCCCGCAUCCUUGUACCACCAAAAUCGACUUCCCCUUGUGUGCUGCACUAUCUGGUUUUUAAUGUUUGCAUUCAAUGAAAACUGUUUUAUCUCGCCUUUUUUUUUUUUUCCUUUUGAGGUGAUCAUUGUGAACAUUUGAAAGGUGUGUCAUAGUCAUUAAUUUGUAUAAUGCCAUUUUUAAUUAUUAUUAAAAUAACUAUAUAUUUA